CUCCGUGGAGUAAGGAUGCAAAGGAAGCUCUCCGGAAGGGAGAGUAAACAACCGAAGGCCAACUGAGGUUGGAAAGCAGGUUGUGGGGAGAGACAGACCUCUGUUUCUAGGUCUGUUUGGAUUAUUUCAUAUUUUCUAAGAUGCCGAGCCUGUGCUGAACAGCACAAGAGAUUGUAUGGGUGUUUUGGAGGCAUCGUUUACUGUGUUCCGUUUUAUUUUGAAGAGCUCGGCCUGUAAAAGUUUAAAUCAUACUUUUAUGGGCCCGGGCAAUGAUUUCUUCCCAAAGGAGUCCAUUCAUAUGCUUCCAGUUGCUUCAAACUGUGCAAUAUUAAUAAUCUGCAACAGGUAGAUCCAAAAGCCAAUGACACACAGAGCCAAUGCCAUUCUGGUUUGGACCCCAUCUUCCUCUCUGCUAAGUUCUACAAUGGGGCAACGUUGGGGAAGAGGAAGCUGACUGCCACUGCCACCACCUGGACUGCUUGUAAGCAGAGCGAAGGAGAAGAAGAAAGCGGAGGCAAACACUUUUCAGGAGUGGUUGAAUAAUGAGGAAGAAAAUGCCGCCUUUUUUAUCUCUCACGUCGAGUGAGGCAAAGGACUUUAUCGGCUACAGUCUGCGGCUGAAAUCACCGUCUCCUUCUGGCUGCUUUUAUAGUCUGAUUAGGCUAUUACUUCCUGUAGUAAACCACCACCAAAAGUCAGAACAUUAAAGGGAAGAAACAGAGUCAAGGACAGGCUUUCAACUCCAACCCUCCAGUUCACAACAUUUGUUGAAUUUGCUGUAUCAAGGUCCACCACAUAUGAACGUACCCUCAAGAAGUUCUGUGGGACAUGAAGAGAAAGAUGCUUUAAAGUGAGCUGAGUGUUUGGGAAGGCUGGCUAUGUCUCAUGCUUAAACAUCUUCAGAAAAUUCACUCAAACACCUUGCUUUGAAUGGAGAUUACAGAAAGGGGGCAUCUAGCAGAACACACACAAAGUUGUUUUCUCUCUUUUAAUUUGACACUGAUGAUUUUUCUGCAUUUCAUUAUUAUACCAUGAAAUCCCCUGGCUUCCAGUCUGCAGUGAAACAGAUCUGACCAGGACAGCCAAUUACUAAACCUUUAUAAUUAAAGGAACAAAGCUCGUUCACCUUAUCCACGUUAGUUGUCACGGUAAGAUCAAUGAAAGUCCUCACAUGAGGGAGAUGAGCAGGAACUGGCUGUCUGUGAGCCCUGCAGAUAGCAUUGUCCUGUCAAGUUUUCACUCCCACCAGCAACAAAGCCAGAUAAAUGGCUUCCUGCCAUUUGGUGUAACCUCCAUUUCCAACUGCUCUUGUUCACACUAGAGCUGGCCUUCCAUUAUGCAAAACUCCAUUAUUCUGGGACCAGAAAUCAGGACACUGUUUAUUUACACUCACAUCUUUUGAUAUUGUGAAGACUUCUAGGAUGCAGAAAGAAUGAGAAUGCCUGCCACAACAAGAAGUUUUCCAACCACCAAGAUAUACAUCCCAAGCAUCUUCAGAGUUGAUCGUGGCAAUAUGCAUGAACUCAUUUC